rnacentral:lncRNA from 1 species
AAUAGGAUUCCUACUCCAAAUAAUAUUUAAAUCUAUAUUUAGUUUAUCUCCAAUAGAUUUAAAUAUUUAUCCUAAUCUAAUUAAAUUUAUACUCUAAUUAAUAUUUAAAUCUUAAUUUAUCUCCAGUAGAUUUAAAUGUUAAUUCUUAUCUAACUAGAAAAUCAACUACAAAUCUAACCAAAUCUAAACAAUCUCCACCUUCGUUGGAUUUGUAGCCUUCAACGGCUCCAUCACGUUCACCAUGCAUGCUCCACCUUGAGUUUAUCUCCUCCGCUCAAUGUCACCCCAUUCGCUGCUCCAUCUCAAGUACCUGCACCUUUGAGAACUUUUCGAAUCCAAAUUGACUUUGCUCCUGUUUU